UUAGGCAAGAAAAAGAAAUAAAAGGCAUCCAAUUGAAAAAGAAGUAAAAUUAUCUCUGUUCAGAUGAUAUGAUGUUAUAUACAGAAAAUCUUCAA